rnacentral:rRNA from 1 species
AAUGAACGCUGGCGGCGCGCCUAAUACAUGCAAGUCGAGCGAGAAGACGUAGCAAUACGUUUGUAAAGCGACGAACGGGUGAGGAAUACAUGGGUAACCUACCCUCGAGUGGGGAAUAACUAGCCGAAAGGUUAGCUAAUACCGCGUACGCUCCUUGGACUUCGGUUCAGGGAGGAAAGCGAUACCGUGGGUAUCGCGCUCUUGGUUGGGCUCAUGUCCUAUCAGCUUGUUGGUGAGGAACGGCUCACCAAGGCUUCGACGGGUAGCUGGCCUGAGAGGACGAUCAGCCACACUGGCACUGCGACACGGGCCAGACUCCUACGGGAGGCAGCAAGUAAGGAAUAUUGCGCAAUGGGCGAAAGCCUGACGCAGCGACGCCGCGU